rnacentral:rRNA from 1 species
CUUGAUGACCAUAGCGAGGUGGUCCCACCCCUUCCCAUCCCGAACAGGACCGUGAAACACCUUAGCGCCGAUGAUAGUUGAUUAACGUCUGUGAAAGUAGGACAUCGUCAAGC